rnacentral:lncRNA from 1 species
GUGGUGGAUGGGUUCUUAGGGCAUUAUUGAGAGCCUCUACUUUUUCACAAAAGAACAAAAAAUGGGCACUUAGCAGAUAUAGCAUUGGAUGUUGGAUAUGAGGUUGUCGUGAUGAUAGAUAGAUCAGCUACUCAUGCAUUCAUUGCUUUGCUGGUUACUUGUCUAAUCAUAAUCAUCACUUCAUCAAAUUUAUUUCUUCAUUUUCAUUAUUUAUGUAAAAUUAUAUAAUUUAGAUUUUCUUUAUCUUAUAUAUAUG